rnacentral:rRNA from 1 species
ACGGGAGGCAGCAGUGGGGAAUAUUGCACAAUGGGGGAAACCCUGAUGCAGCGACGCCGCGUGAGUGAAGAAGUAUUUCGGUAUGUAAAGCUCUAUCAGCAGGGAAGAUAAUGACGGUACCUGACUAAGAAGCACCGGCUAAAUACGUGCCAGCAGCCGCGGUAAUACGUAUGGUGCAAGCGUUAUCCGGAUUUACUGGGUGUAAAGGGAGCGUAGACGGCAAUGCAAGUCUGAAGUGAAAGCCCGUGGCUUAACUGCGGAACUGCUUUGGAAACUGUAUAGCUAGAGUGUCGGAGAGGUGAGUGGAAUUCCUAGUGUAGCGGUGAAAUGCGUAGAUAUUAGGAAGAACACCGGUGGCGAAGGCGGCUCACUGGACGAUAACUGACGUUGAGGCUCGAAAGCGUGGGGAGCAAACAGGAUUAGAUACCCUGGUA